UACGGGGGGAGCAAGCGUUGUUCGGAUUUACUGGGCGUAAAGGGCGCGUAGGCGGCCACCGCAAGUCGGUUGUGAAAUCUCUGGGCUUAACCCAGAAAGGUCAACCGAUACUGCGGGGCUAGAGUGCAGAAGGGGCAACUGGAAUUCUCGGUGUAGCGGUGAAAUGCGUAGAUAUCGAGAGGAACACCUGCGGCGAAGGCGAGUUGCUGGGCCGACACUGACGCUGAUGCGCGAAAGCCAGGGGAGCGAACGGG
rnacentral:rRNA from 1 species